CACAAAAGUCCUCAUACCUUGUAUACAAAUAACAUUUCAGGAUAAUGACUGAGGUAGAGCAGGGUUGAGCCUGGACAGUACCUGGAUGGGAGACCUCCUGGGGAAAACUAAGGUUGCUGCUGGAA
rnacentral:rRNA from 1 species